rnacentral:rRNA from 1 species
CUCGAUGAGUAGGGCGGGACACGUGGUAUCCUGUCUGAAUAUGGGGGGACCAUCCUCCAAGGCUAAAUACUCCUGACUGACCGAUAGUGAACCAGUACCGUGAGGGAAAGGCGAAAAGAACCCCGGCGAGGGGAGUGAAAAAGAACCUGAAACCGUGUACGUACAAGCAGUGGGAGCACCCUUUGGGGUGUGACUGCGUACCUUUUGUAUAAUGGGUCAGCGACUUAUAUUCUGUAGCAAGGUUAACCGAAUAGGGGAGCCGGAGGGAAACCGAGUCUUAAUUGGGCGUUAAGUUGCAGGGUAUAGACCCGAAACCCGGUGAUCUAGCCAUGGGCAGGUUGAAGGUUGGGUAACACUAACUGGAGGACCGAACCGACUAAUGUUGAAAAAUUAGCGGAUGACCUGUGGCUGGGGGUGAAAGGCCAAUCAAACCGGGAGAUAGCUGGUUCUCCCCGAAAGCUAUUUAGGUAGCGCCUCGUGAAUUCAUCUCCGGGGGUAGAGCACUGUUUCGGCUAGGGGGCCAUCCCGGCUUACCAACCCGAUGCAAACUGCGAAUACCGGAGAAUGUUAUCACGGGAGACACACGGCGGGUGCUAACGUCCGUCGUGAAGAGGGAAACAACCCAGACCGCCAGCUAAGGUCCCAAAGUCAUGGUUAAGUGGGAAACGAUGUGGGAAGGCCCAGACAGCCAGGAUGUUGGCUUAGAAGCAGCCAUCAUUUAAAGAAAGCGUAAUAGCUCACUGGUCGAGUCGGCCUGCGCGGAAGAUGUAACGGGGCUAAACCAUGCACCGAAGCUGCGGCAGCGACGCUGAUGCGUUGUUGGGUAGGGGAGCGUUCUGUAAGCCUGCGAAGGUGGCCUGUGAGGGUUGCUGGAGGUAUCAGAAGUGCGAAUGCUGACAUAAGUAACGAUAAAGCGGGUGAAAAGCCCGCUCGCCGGAAGACCAAGGGUUCCUGUCCAACGUUAAUCGGGGCAGGGUGAGUCGACCCCUAAGGCGAGGCCGAAAGGCGUAGUCGAUGGGAAACGGGUUAAUAUUCCCGUACUUGGUGUUACUGCGAAGGGGGGACGGAGAAGGCUAUGUUGGCCGGGCGACGGUUGUCCCGGUUUAAGCGUGUAGGUGUGUGUUCCAGGUAAAUCCGGUUCACUUUAACACUGAGGCGUGAUGACGAGGCACUACGGUGCUGAAGCAACAAAUGCCCUGCUUCCAGGAAAAGCCUCUAAGCAUCAGGUAACAUCAAAUCGUACCCCAAACCGACACAGGUGGUCAGGUAGAGAAUACCAAGGCGCUUGAGAGAACUCGGGUGAAGGAACUAGGCAAAAUGGUGCCGUAACUUCGGGAGAAGGCACGCUGACACGUAGGUGAAGUGAUUUACUCAUGGAGCUGAAGUCAGUCGAAGAUACCAGCUGGCUGCAACUGUUUAUUAAAAACACAGCACUGUGCAAACACGAAAGUGGACGUAUACGGUGUGACGCCUGCCCGGUGCCGGAAGGUUAAUUGAUGGGGUCAGCGCAAGCGAAGCUCCUGAUCGAAGCCCCGGUAAACGGCGGCCGUAACUAUAACGGUCCUAAGGUAGCGAAAUUCCUUGUCGGGUAAGUUCCGACCUGCACGAAUGGCGUAAUGAUGGCCAGGCUGUCUCCACCCGAGACUCAGUGAAAUUGAACUCGCUGUGAAGAUGCAGUGUACCCGCGGCAAGACGGAAAGACCCCGUGAACCUUUACUAUAGCUUGACACUGAACAUUGAGCCUUGAUGUGUAGGAUAGGUGGGAGGCUUUGAAGUGUGGACGCCAGUCUGCAUGGAGCCGGCCUUGAAAUACCACCCUUUAAUGUUUGAUGUUCUAACGUGGACCCGUGAUCCGGGUUGCGGACAGUGUCUGGUGGGUAGUUUGACUGGGGCGGUCUCCUCCUAAAGAGUAACGGAGGAGCACGAAGGUUGGCUAAUCCUGGUCGGACAUCAGGAGGUUAGUGCAAUGGCAUAAGCCAGCUUGACUGCGAGCGUGACGGCGCGAGCAGGUGCGAAAGCAGGUCAUAGUGAUCCGGUGGUUCUGAAUGGAAGGGCCAUCGCUCAACGGAUAAAAGGUACUCCGGGGAUAACAGGCUGAUACCGCCCAAGAGUUCAUAUCGACGGCGGUGUUUGGCACCUCGAUGUCGGCUCAUCACAUCCUGGGGCUGAAGUAGGUCCCAAGGGUAUGGCUGUUCGCCAUUUAAAGUGGUACGCGAGCUGGGUUUAGAACGUCGUGAGACAGUUCGGUCCCUAUCUGCCGUGGGCGCUGGAGAACUGAGGGGGGCUGCUCCUAGUACGAGAGGACCGGAGUGGACGCAUCACUGGUGUUCGGGUUGUCAUGCCAAUGGCACUGCCCGGUAGCUAAAUGCGGAAGAGAUAAGUGCUGAAAGCAUCUAAGCACGAAACUUGCCCCGAGAUGAGUUCUCCCUGAGACUUAGAGUCUCCUGAAGGAACGUUGAAGACGACGACGUUGAUAGGCCGGGUGUGUAAGCGCAGCGAUGCGUUGAGCUAACCGGUACUAAUGAACCGUGAGGCUUAACCUUACA